rnacentral:rRNA from 1 species
UUUAAUGUUUGAUGUUCUAACGUGGACCCGUAAUCCGGGUUGCGGACAGUGUCUGGUGGGUAGUUUGACUGGGGCGGUCUCCUCCUAAAGAGUAACGGAGGAGCACGAAGGUUGGCUAAUCCUGGUCGGACAUCAGGAGGUUAGUGCAAUGGCAUAAGCCAGCUUGACUGCGAGCGUGACGGCGCGAGCAGGUGCGAAAGCAGGUCAUAGUGAUCCGGUGGUUCUGAAUGGAAGGGCCAUCGCUCAACGGAUAAAAGGUACUCCGGGGAUAACAGGCUGAUACCGCCCAAGAGUUCAUAUCGACGGCGGUGUUUGGCACCUCGAUGUCGGCUCAUCACAUCCUGGGGCUGAAGUAGGUCCCAAGGGUAUGGCUGUUCGCCAUUUAAAGUGGUACGCGAGCUGGGUUUAGAACGUCGUGAGACAGUUCGGUCCCUAUCUGCCGUGGGCGCUGGAGAACUGAGGGGGGCUGCUCCUAGUACGAGAGGACCGGAGUGGACGCAUCACUGGUGUUCGGGUUGUCAUGCCAAUGGCACUGCCCGGUAGCUAAAUGCGGAAGAGAUAAGUGCUGAAAGCAUCUAAGCACGAAACUUGCCCCGAG